CCUACGGGGGGCAGCAGUAGGGAAUAUUGGGCAAUGGCCGCGAGGCUGACCCAGCCAUGCCGCGUGCAGGAAGAAGGCCUUCUGGGUUGUAAACUGCUUUUACCAAGGAAGAAAACGCCCCUGCGGGGGUAACUGACGGUACUUGGUGAAUAAGCACCGGCUAACUCCGUGCCAGCAGCCGCGGUAAUACGGAGGGUGCAAGCGUUGUCCGGAUUUAUUGGGUUUAAAGGGUGCGUAGGCGGCCCGUUAAGUCAGCGGUGAAAUCCCGGGGCUCAACCCCGGAACUGCCGUUGAUACUGGCGGGCUUGAGUUCGGUGAAGGCGGGCGGAACUGGCGGUGUAGCGGUGAAAUGCUUAGAUACCGCCAAGAACCCCGAUUGCGUAGGCAGCUCGCUGUGCCGAAACUGACGCUGAGGCACGAAAGCGUGGGGAGCGAACAGG
rnacentral:rRNA from 1 species